AUGCCGACGAGCGCUAGCGAACGGACGCCAUGCCGACGAGCGCUAGGGAACGGACGCUCUGCUUUUGCACCCUGCUCCCUCUUAUGCUGGUGCCCCUGUGCUACCAGCGCCUCUUCCUCCAAACUGCACACGUCACUCGCAUGACCUUGAUUCCAUGUGGGGUCUAGGACCUCAUCAUCCUCCACAUCAUCUUCCACCCACUCCUCAACGCUG